CUCUAGUGCUGGGGUCACCCCCCUCCAGUGAGGGACCUGGAGGACGCUGGAGGGGAGGUCGAGGAACGAACUUUGCAUGCUAAAAAAAUGUCCUCAUCUUUGGUUCUAGAAUCCCUAAUCUCCUAGCAACGGGGCUGUAGAAUCUUCACAGACAUUAAGGUUUUUAUAGCAACGGGUUGCGGCGCCUCCCGGGCUCCCCCUCUUUCCACUUUCCCCUUCCCAUCUCCUCCCCUUCCCCCUUGAUCCAUAAUAGGGGCCCCCUUAGACCUCUCCGUCUCCCCCUCCUGCUGAAUACCCCAAGAUUUCAACCUAUCUGCCAGGUCUGGGGCGGCGAGUAGGCUGCCUUGGCUUGGGAAGGGCCUUGGGAGGAAAGAUGGAGGAAGAGGCUGUCUGGGCUUGUAGUUUUGUGAGAGUCAUCUCCCCCCAAAAAAGCUUAGGGCUGAGAUUACAUAUAUACCUAUACCCUCUCCCACCCAGAGAGAGAGGAGAAAAUUGAGACCGUGGUAUGUUUCUUCCAAGAGCAUUGAUUAAACCUUGGCUCUGGGAAUGGAGGUCGGCUGAGUUCUUGGGAAAGCAGGCUGGCUUCUCAGCCUAACACAGGCUUUGACUGUUCACAGGGGAUGGCAUCCACUCCUACCAGGAAUGACAAAAAAAAAAAAAGAGCAGCUGGCUGUCUCAAACUGCAUCCUCCUUGAGUGGAGGGCAGGUGAGCACCUAAGGGGAGCUCCCAAGGGGAGCUCUGGAGGUGGGAGUGUAAUGAGGUGAGGAGCACCCAGGCAGAGGCAGCUGGUCUGAGCUGCAAGCCCUGGGACACUAACCUCCAUCCUGAGCCCUGAGCCUCCCUCAGACUGCUCCUCACAGGUCUAGGGCCUUCUAGUCAAAUCUCAAGGUUCAACCCUCCAAAACAGACUCUUCAGCCCCAGAGCCUCCAGCUGGGAAGCCCCCAGACCCAGCAUUCUGAGGCUGUACAGAAGUUUUCACACUCAGAUCUUCUGACUUCCUUUCCCAGAAGGUUUCAAUAUCUUGUUCUGAGGAAUUCCUGACUCGGAUCAGCAAUGAACUUACAGAGGAGGCCUUGUUUAUAGCUGGCUGCCACAUGAAUCCUGUGCCCACCGAGGAAAAGCAGACAAAAGACCAAGGGACUCAGAUAUCCAGUCACGGUGACCUCCACCUCAGGACUGCUGUGUCUAGAGGCCCUCCCAUAUGCCUGGUUCCAGUCCCUGACCCUCUCCUGACCAUAAAUGACCUCUCCAGGAAGCUAUGCCUGAGUGGCCUGUUUCAGAGCUGGUUCUAGGCACAGUGCCCCAUAAACCCUAACCCAGUACCCACUCCUCACUGCUGGCCAGAAAUUCCCUUGGCCCUUUCUUCCCUAGCCAUAUCUCUUGCUGCCCUUGGGUUGGGCAUAGUCAUUUCUCUAACUGGGGCCUCUGCUUCCAGUGCUCUUCACCAUGACUGGAGGCACAGACACCUGGUGAGUGAGGCUUCAUGGAGAUGUACUUGGUCCAGGGAAAAAGAUAAGGAACAUAUAGGAGAGAGAGCAAGGGUUUGGCAAACAUUCCAGCGGGGUAGAGGGAUUUUUGAACCAUGCAGCUCUAUUUUAUUCUGCUCUGAUCCUCAAAUUCAGAGUUCUCAUUCAACCUUCUCCUUUCUCUUCUGCCAUCUCCAGCUCUGACAGAGACCAUAUCCACACCAAGGCACACCGGCUAUCCCUUCGUGAUAAGGUAUCUAUGAGGCUGUUCAGUAUUAACAAAACAUUUAGAGUUUGCACUAUGUGCCAGUACUUGCUUUAGGAACUUGGGACAUAGAAAUAAAUAAUAGAGUCUCAGCCUUUGAAUUAUUUACAGUUUAAUGUGAGGACAGACAAAUAAAUGGCCAAUUACAAUAUAGUAUGGACACAUACGUGUAAGAGAAAUGGAAACAAUGAGAAGAAUACUUCUAUCCCAACUUAAAUUAGGACAGGAAGGAAAGGAAUCAUGGAGCUUCCUGGAGACACCUAAUGAAUUUUCCAGGAGAACACUGGGCAUGGUAGCACAAUGCUUGCAAUCCUUUUUUUUAAAAAAAUAUAUAUAUAUUUAUUUUUUAGUUUUCGGCCGACACAACAUCUUUGUUUGUAUGUGGUGCUGAGGAUCGAACCCGGGCCGCACGCAUGCCAGGCGAGCACACUACCGCUUGAGCCACAUCCCCAGCCCCAAUGCUUGCAAUCCUAGUGGCUUGGGAGGCUGAGGCAGGAGGAUUGCAAGUUCAAAGCCAGCUUCAGCAACUUAGUGAGGCCCUAAGCAAAUUAGCAAGACUUUGUCUCAAAAUAAAAAUUAAAAAGGGCUGGGGGUCUGGCUCAGUGAACCCCCUGGGUUCAAUCCCUGGUACAAAAAAAAAAUUGCAAGAAAACAAGGGCUGGUAGGAGUACUCCAAGUAGUAGAGAUUCCAUGAGUAAAGGCAUGAAGGGUCUUAGAAGGGUGAGUGUAAGCAGAUGCAUGUGCACUGAGGGUGGAGGAUAGGGCCUGAAGCAGCUUAACCCCUGGAAUAUGCAGGCAAGGUAGACAGGGACUAACCAAGAGGCCUAUGUGUGCCUUGUUAAGAUCAUAGACAUUUUUCUAUAGGUAAGAAACCAUUGAAGAGCUGGAGUAAGAAGUGGGAAUUUUCUAUCAGUCACUUUGAUAGUCACUGGAGAGGGGGAAAGACUGAAGGCAGGGAGGCCAGUUAGGAAUUAUUGCAAAGAAACCAAAUUAGAGAUGAUGGUCCUAACCUGGACAGUAAUGGUAGAGAUGGAAGGAGGAGCCCUGGUUAGAAAUGGUAGAGGGGAAAAAGGGAAUCAGAUGACUGCCAAGUUUCUGACUUGGGCAACCUGAGUCUGAUCAUGUCAUGUUUCCUCUUGGAACUCUAUGGUAGCUUCCAAUUUUCAAGUAAAAAGCCAGUGUCCUUCAGUGCUCACAUGGCCCAGCAUGAGCACUCCACAUCUAUUGUCUCUGUGAUUUCAUUGUCUGUAACUUCUCCACUUAUUUCCCUGUCUCUGCACCUGGGCCUUCUCAUUCUUUCUGGAACAUGGCAAGCAUGUUUCCGACUUUAGCCAGGAAAUGUUUUUAUUACUUUAUUUAAGUGUGUUUAUCGUGCUCAUGGGGGACUCCAGGUGGAAAUAUUCUAUAGACAGACAGUUGGAAAUAUGGAUUCUACACUCAAAGGAUAGAUCUAGGUUAGUGAUUGAGAGUUGACCCUGAGGUCAUGAGGAGGGAGCUGGCAGUUGAAGGGAGAGUAUGUGGUGGCCCUGUGAGGCUUUGGGUAGAGUAAGAAAGGAAAAGGUGCUGAGGGUGGAGCCCUGGAGAACUCCCUGUAAUGGGUUGGCAGAAGAGGAAAGAAGGAUUCAGGGAGAAGGAACUGAAGCCAACAGAUGUUCAUUGUGUAUGAUGUGCCAGGUUCAUCAAGCCAUGGGGACAAGUCAUUUUUCUGACUUGGGCCACUACUUCAAGUAUUAAUCACCAAACUUGAGGCAAAAUACAGCCGAGAAUAAGCCAAAUCUCUUGUCCUCAAGGAGCUGAUUUUUUUAGUGCCUUUGGGACAUUAGAUCUCUCCUAACGGGGCUGGUAUUAGAAAUAGUUUGAAUAAUCAGAAAAGCCCCUGCCUUAAUAAUUUAUCUGCUAACUUAUGUAAGUUGCUUUCCUUCUUCCUCCAUCCCAAGAUGCUCUGUGAGGACCUGCCUAUCCGUACAGUGGUUUCCCCUCCUUCCCAGAUGACAUUUGAUUAAGGAUUUCAUCCUGAGCAAACAUCUUUCCCUCAUCCACCUGCCAGCCCCCCAUGAUUUCAGGAGACUUUUUCUUGCUUACCUUCAAAGAAGAACCUGGAAGCCUACACAUCUUUGAAUUGCUCUUUGAAUUGUUGGCAUUGUGGCUAAUCAAAAAUGUUAGGAGAGGGAAUGGGUGAGUAGAUGGGGAGGUAAGUAAAUGGUGAAUGGGUAAAUGGAUAUAUUCAUUGAACAUAUAUUAAGCACUUACUGUGUUCUAGUACUUCUCUAGAGGGUGAAGUAUAGCAGUGAACAAAACAGAAUCCCUACUGGUAAGGAGUUUAAAAGGGGCAGAGUGAGUGAGUAGAUAAAAGAGAGGUGAGUGGGUGGCUGGAUAGAUGGGGGUAGAUGGAUGAGUGAGUGGAAAGGCAGAUGGAGAAUGAUGGAUAGAUAUCCAGAUGGAUGGGUGGAAGGAGAAUGUGGGUGGGUGGGGAGAUGGAGAGAUGGAUAGGAAAUGGUGGAUGAAUAAAUGGGUUUGAUGGAUGGGUAAAGGAUGGAAAGAUGGUAAGCCAUAAGCUUUGGGUCUAAAGAGUCAAAAGCUGUCUUCCAGAGAGUUCUCUCCCACAGUUUGACAUUCUAUUAGCCCAACCUUUUUUGGUGCUGUUCUUGGUUUCUCAUGCCCUCCCCCAUUUUUCCCUCUAGAACAUGCCUCAAAACUCCUCUUUCAAAACUUGUUAAAUAUUUCAUUUGGGUGGGGGGAUUCCUGGUCAUGAGCAGUGCCACCCUGGAAGCCAAGGAAAUGUUCUGGAUGCAUCGCACAGAUCUCCAUCUUCAGCCAACAAAGAUACCACCAGGAAGAAAAGGCUUUAAUAAAGUCAUGGGGUUCUUCCCCUUCCCCCCAA
rnacentral:lncRNA from 1 species